UACGUAGGUGGCAAGCGUUGUCCGGAAUUAUUGGGCGUAAAGCGCGCGCAGGCGGUCCUUUAAGUCUGAUGUGAAAGCCCUCGGCUCAACCGAGGAGGGUCAUUGGAAACUGGAGGACUUGAGUGCAGAAGAGGAAAGUGGAAUUCCCAGUGUAGUGGUGAAAUACGUAGAGAUUGGGAAGAACACCAGUGGCGAAGGCGGCUAUCUGGACGGUUUCUGACACUAAGACUCGAAAGCGUGGGGAGCAAACAGG
rnacentral:rRNA from 1 species